AUAAGGAAUGGCGACUUGGUUUGGGCAUGGAAAUUGAGAAUGCCAUGAAUGUAUUCAGCAAGAUCUUGUCGAAAUGAACCAGAGGAAGGCGGAAAAGAGUUGCCCAAGAUCCCAGCCGAGUGGGCAUGUUCCACAUAUAUAUCAUUGCUAAGGCCAAGAUUAACUAGAGCCCGAUAUACACCUUGCAUUGCCGGGAGGAGGUUAUUCAUCAUCAUGUGCAACAUAUAUAUCAUUGCUAAGGCCAAGAUUAACAAGAGCUCGAUAUACACCUUGCAUUGCCGGGAGGAGGUUAUUCAUCAUCUGUGUAUCGUUCCCCGUUAAGAUCUCGUUCCCAACAGUAAUACAAGUGAUUUUAGUCUGAGUAUGGUAAGGUUGAACAUGCGAUUGGAUCCAAGCCUGAGCUUGUUGAGGAUCAGUCAUUCUUUGUAGGUACUCAUUUCCAAGUCCAAUAACGAAUUCCACAUCCGUGUUAGCAAAUGCGCUUAAUACGUUUGGAUCAGCGUCAUAAAGUUUUACUCUCGUAACAUUGAUAGAUCUGAGG
rnacentral:lncRNA from 1 species